GUGCUUACUUCAGCAGCACAUGUGCUAAAAUUGAAAUGAUAGAGGGAAGAUUAGCAUGGUCUAUGUAAAAGGAUGACAUGCAAAUCCAUGAAGUGUUCCUUAUAAAA
ensembl:snRNA U6 U6 spliceosomal RNA